CAACCCUCAAGCCCUCGGGUUUGGUGUUGGGGAUCGGCGAGCCCUUGCGGCAAGCCGGCCCCGAAAUCUAGUGGCGGUCUCGCUGCAGCUUCCAUUGCGUAGUAGUAAAACCCUCGCAGCUGGUACGCGGCGCGGCCAAGCCGUUAAACCCCCAACUUCUGAA
rnacentral:misc_RNA from 1 species